UGGCACCUACGGGACGCAGCAGUGAGGAAUAUUGGUCAAUGGGCGUAAGCCUGAACCAGCCACGUCGCGUGAGGGAUGAAGGUUCUAUGGAUCGUAAACCUCUUUUAUAAGGGAAUAAAGUGUGGGACGUGUCCUGUUUUGUAUGUACCUUAUGAAUAAGGAUCGGCUAACUCCGUGCCAGCAGCCGCGGUAAUACGGAGGAUCCGAGCGUUAUCCGGAUUUAUUGGGUUUAAAGGGUGCGUAGGCGGCCUUUUAAGUCAGCGGUGAAAGUCUGUGGCUCAACCAUAGAAUUGCCGUUGAAACUG
rnacentral:rRNA from 1 species